rnacentral:rRNA from 1 species
UACGAAGGGGGCUAGCGUUGCUCGGAAUGACUGGGCGUAAAGGGCGCGUAGGCGGAUUGACAGUCGGACGUGAAAUUCCAGGGCUCAACCUUGGGGCUGCGUUCGAGACGUUGGUCUAGAGUGUGGAAGAGGGUCGUGGAAUUCCCAGUGUAGAGGUGAAAUUCGUAGAUAUUGGGAAGAACACCGGUGGCGAAGGCGGCGACCUGGUCCAUUACUG